CUUGCUGCAGCAGUGCAUAUUCUAGAGCUGGAAUGAUAUAGGGUGUGGCUCCUGCCCAAGGAUGGCACAAAUUUUGAAGUGUUCCACAUUU
rnacentral:snRNA from 1 species